rnacentral:rRNA from 1 species
ACUAAGCGUACACGGUGGAUGCCCUGGCAGUCAGAGGCGAUGAAGGACGUGCUAAUCUGCGAAAAGCGUCGGUAAGGUGAUAUGAACCGUUAUAACCGGCGAUGUCCGAAUGGGGAAACCCAGUGUGAUUCGUCACACUAUCGUUAACUGAAUACAUAGGUUAACGAGGCGAACCGGGGGAACUGAAACAUCUAAGUACCCCGAGGAAAAGAAAUCAACCGAGAUUCCCCCAGUAGCGGCGAGCGAACGGGGAGCAGCCCAGAGUCUGAAUCAGCUUGUGUGUUAGUGGAACGGUCUGGAAAGUCCGACGGUACAGGGUGAUAGUCCCGUACACCAAAAUGCACAGGCUGUGAACUCGAAGAGUAGGGCGGGACACGUGGUAUCCUGUCUGAAUAUGGGGGGACCAUCCUCCAAGGCUAAAUACUCCUGACUGACCGAUAGUGAACCAGUACCGUGAGGGAAAGGCGAAAAGAACCCCGGCGAGGGGAGUGAAAAAGAACCUGAAACCGUGUACGUACAAGCAGUGGGAGCACCUUCGGGUGUGACUGCGUACCUUUUGUAUAAUGGGUCAGCGACUUAUAUUCUGUAGCAAGGUUAACCGUAUAGGGGAGCCGCAGGGAAACCGAGUCUUAACUGGGCGUUAAGUUGCAGGGUAUAGACCCGAAACCCGGUGAUCUAGCCAUGGGCAGGUUGAAGGUUGGGUAACACUAACUGGAGGACCGAACCGACUAAUGUUGAAAAAUUAGCGGAUGACUUGUGGCUGGGGGUGAAAGGCCAAUCAAACCGGGAGAUAGCUGGUUCUCCCCGAAAGCUAUUUAGGUAGCGCCUCGUGAACUCAUCUUCGGGGGUAGAGCACUGUUUCGGCUAGGGGGUCAUCCCGACUUACCAACCCGAUGCAAACUACGAAUACCGAAGAAUGUUAUCACGGGAGACACACGGCGGGUGCUAACGUCCGUCGUGAAGAGGGAAACAACCCAGACCGCCAGCUAAGGUCCCAAAGUCAUGGUUAAGUGGGAAACGAUGUGGGAAGGCACAGACAGCCAGGAUGUUGGCUUAGAAGCAGCCAUCAUUUAAAGAAAGCGUAAUAGCUCACUGGUCGAGUCGGCCUGCGCGGAAGAUGUAACGGGGCUAAACCAUGCACCGAAGCUGCGGCAGCGACACUAUGUGUUGUUGGGUAGGGGAGCGUUCUGUAAGCCUGCGAAGGUGUGCUGUGAGGCAUGCUGGAGGUAUCAGAAGUGCGAAUGCUGACAUAAGUAACGAUAAAGCGGGUGAAAAGCCCGCUCGCCGGAAGACCAAGGGUUCCUGUCCAACGUUAAUCGGGGCAGGGUGAGUCGACCCCUAAGGCGAGGCCGAAAGGCGUAGUCGAUGGGAAACAGGUUAAUAUUCCUGUACUUGGUGUUACUGCGAAGGGGGGACGGAGAAGGCUAUGUUAGCCGGGCGACGGUUGUCCCGGUUUAAGCAUGUAGGCUGAUUGUCCAGGCAAAUCCGGAUAAUCAAGGCUGAGGUGUGAUGACGAGGCACUACGGUGCUGAAGUAACAAAUGCCCUGCUUCCAGGAAAAGCCUCUAAGCAUCAGGUAACAUUAAAUCGUACCCCAAACCGACACAGGUGGUCAGGUAGAGAAUACCAAGGCGCUUGAGAGAACUCGGGUGAAGGAACUAGGCAAAAUGGUGCCGUAACUUCGGGAGAAGGCACGCUGGUGUGUAGGUGAAGUCCCUGCGGAUGGAGCUGAGACCAGUCGAAGAUACCAGCUGGCUGCAACUGUUUAUUAAAAACACAGCACUGUGCAAACACGAAAGUGGACGUAUACGGUGUGACGCCUGCCCGGUGCCGGAAGGUUAAUUGAUGGGGUUAUCCGUAAGGAGAAGCUCUUGAUCGAAGCCCCGGUAAACGGCGGCCGUAACUAUAACGGUCCUAAGGUAGCGAAAUUCCUUGUCGGGUAAGUUCCGACCUGCACGAAUGGCGUAAUGAUGGCCAGGCUGUCUCCACCCGAGACUCAGUGAAAUUGAACUCGCUGUGAAGAUGCAGUGUACCCGCGGCAAGACGGAAAGACCCCGUGAACCUUUACUAUAGCUUGACACUGAACAUUGAGCCUUGAUGUGUAGGAUAGGUGGGAGGCUUUGAAGCGUGGACGCCAGUCUGCGUGGAGCCAACCUUGAAAUACCACCCUUUAAUGUUUGAUGUUCUAACGUUGGCCCCUGACCGGGGUUGCGGACAGUGUCUGGUGGGUAGUUUGACUGGGGCGGUCUCCUCCCAAAGCGUAACGGAGGAGCACGAAGGUUAGCUAAUCCUGGUCGGACAUCAGGAGGUUAGUGCAAUGGCAUAAGCUAGCUUGACUGCGAGCGUGACGGCGCGAGCAGGUGCGAAAGCAGGUCAUAGUGAUCCGGUGGUUCUGAAUGGAAGGGCCAUCGCUCAACGGAUAAAAGGUACUCCGGGGAUAACAGGCUGAUACCGCCCAAGAGUUCAUAUCGACGGCGGUGUUUGGCACCUCGAUGUCGGCUCAUCACAUCCUGGGGCUGAAGUAGGUCCCAAGGGUAUGGCUGUUCGCCAUUUAAAGUGGUACGCGAGCUGGGUUUAGAACGUCGUGAGACAGUUCGGUCCCUAUCUGCCGUGGGCGCUGGAGAAUUGAGGGGGGCUGCUCCUAGUACGAGAGGACCGGAGUGGACGCAUCACUGGUGUUCGGGUUGUCAUGCCAAUGGCACUGCCCGGUAGCUAAAUGCGGAAGAGAUAAGUGCUGAAAGCAUCUAAGCACGAAACUUGCCCCGAGAUGAGUUCUCCCUGAGACUAUAAGUCUCCUGAAGGAACGUUAAAGACGAUGACGUUGAUAGGCCGGGUGUGUAAGCGCAGCGAUGCGUUGAGCUAACCGGUACUAAUGAACCGUGAGGCUUAACC